UUUCCCAUUAAAAUACACACAAAAUUUUCAAUUCCCUGCUCAUCCCUCCAUCAAGCUCCAUCUUUUCACUCUGCCUACUCAUCCAUCCGCUAAAUGCCUUCGUCUGUAAUCAAAUAACUCUGCCCUACAAAAGAGUCCUAAUUUUGAAAUUAAAAACCCUAGGUUUACGGAGUAGAACUUUUGUAUUCCUUUGUGUAAUUCAUAGAACUGUUAGGAAUUCGUGUUGUAUUCCUUUGUGUAAUUUGUUUCUGGGGUGGGGUCUAUAUAGCAGGUCUACUGAUACAUCUUGCCUUAUAUCAUAUAUUUGAUGAUUACGUCAUAUUUCAACAAAUCUAUGGGUGAGGUAGUUAGAAUAUUGUAGACUGCGUUGAGUUUUUGUUAUAAUGAUGUACAAUGAUUUGAUCUGGUAUAUUCCAAUUCGGUUUAUGUUCGAUUUGAUUUUUUGCAUCUGGAUCAUACCGAAUCCGGAUUCCAAUCUGCUACAGGAUUCGCAAACGUUUCUAGAUGAUUGAUGGUGCUGAAAUUGUUUGCAGUGAGGUGGUUUGUAAGGUGGAGGAGGAAAACUGUGGUUCUAGUGUGAAUGCAGUCACUGGUGUUGCUACUAUUGAUUAUAAUGUCAUAGGUAAUGGUAAUUGUAAUGGCAACGGCGAUUUCGCCUGUGUUUAUGAACGUGAGUGUCGAGGUGAGUGCUGGUGAGUUUGGUGAUGUAGGUGGUAUUAAUUUUGAUGGUGAAGUUGAGCUGUUUUAUGGUCAUCUUGACGAGGUCUCGGGGGAACUGAAGACAGAUGUUAAGAGCACUGAAGAAGUGGAUGAUACUGGUUCAGGGCUUACCAAGUCAACUCUGAACAUUGUAAAUGAGUUGAUUUGGGUGAAUGGGUGAAACCGGUUGGAAGUCGCCCAUAAUCUAUUUCUAAACAACCUCAUAAAUCGUUCUAUUUAAAAAUGUUGCUAUGUCCAUACUGCAUAGUUAAAAAGAUGGACAAAAAACGUGUGGGUCAAACCAACCCGUUUCAACCGUAACCUGUUUUGAUCCGUUACACGGCCCAUCCCUCUUGCCACCUUUAUAUUCAUAUUUACCAAUUGUAUAAGCCUUCUAAUUUGCUGCAUAAAUCUAUACAGGACAUUGUAUAACCAACUAAGCCGUUGCUUAAAGCAUGGCUUGCUAGACCUUUAUAUGACAUAAAAUCGACCAGAGAACGCCAAGAAGCCAUAGCUGGUGUAAAGUGAAGCUAAUGGUAGAAAUUCAAGUAAAGUUAAUCUCUAUGAGGAUGCAGCAAGGGAACAACUUCAAGAGUUUAUAAUAGUUCUCAGUGGUGAUGUUGUUAUACUGACGCUACUGUUGUUAAACCGAUGCAGGUUAGACUGAUGUUGCUUUUGUUAAACUAAUGUGGGUCAUGGAUUUGCUAAAUCAGCAGUUGCGGCUGCUGCUGUCUUUUUCGAACAAAUGACGAGGCAGUAGCAGUAGACCGCAUUAAAUGUAUACAGAGCAGCAGCUGAAAUACAUGGUUAUGGACUUCCAUCAAGAGGUUUUUUUAAUACUUUAUAUUGAAAAAAAUAGAUAAUGUCUUAGUGGAAUUAGAAAAGUAAAUACACUUAUUAUUGCAUUUUAUAAUAAUUUUAUCUGCAACCAGAUUUCGGUUCACAUGUUUUGUUGUUGUCAUUAUGUAUAUAAGAAAUAUUAAUGAUUAUUAUAUAUAUUUAAUAUAUUAAUAAAAAACAUAAUAUAGUAGGCUCGGUAAAGCUCGCGAGCCGGCUCGAGCUCGAUAAGUGAAGCUCGGGCUCGGGCUCGUUUAUUAAACGAGAUUGUUUUUAGGCUCGGGCUCAAGCUCGUUUAAGCUUGGCUCAUUCAAGGUUUUUUUCGAGCCGAGUUCGAGUAGCUCGACUUGUUUGCACCCCUAUCAGGAAGCAGGCUUAAUAUUAAAUAAGACCACUUUCGAUAACAGCAAGUGUUUUACUACGGGUCAUGGAUGUUAAAUAGCAACAAUGUUUUGCUAUAAAACCAUGUUAAAACAGCUGUUGUGUUUAAAUGGGUCACGAAUGCUAAAACAACAGCAGUGUUUUGCUAUAAAACGAUGUUUUAACGGGUCACGGAUGUUAAAACAGUUGUUGUGUUUUGCUAUAAAACAACGAGGCGAGGGGUGUAGAAACAGUAUCAGCAGCAGUAGAUGAACUGUUAAAACAGUUGAAGGCUGCUGCUGGUUUAACACUUUGCGCCGCUUCGUUUUAUUACCAACAUUUUGUUUACAUAUCUGCUUUUGAUAGUGCUGCCAAUGCCCCUACAAAUCUUGACUCUAGAUUUGGAUCCAAUGGUCAUGGUCGCGGGAACAGUGACCCGUCUGAGAAUGAUGGUGCUAAAAUUGGUCGGCAGCCGGACGCUUUACCGAUUAUCGCGAGCUCCAUCAGGUUCAGGUUACAGGUAGAAAUAUGCUGGAGCUGGUAUUCAAAUGGGUCAAAAACUUGCAGGUAGAAAUAUGCUGGAGCUGAUUACAAAUCCGUGUAUUACACGGAUUGAAGAUAAAAAAAAUCCGGUUGCAUAGUGUGUAUUUUUUAUGGUUAUAUGAAUUGUUUCAUAAAUCAUAACAUUAUUUAGUUAUUCGUGUGAUAAAUUCAAUCGUUUUUUAUUUAUAAGAUUUGUGAGGA